rfam:Erwinia tasmaniensis strain ET1/99 complete chromosome.
AUUGACUUAGGGUGGCCUGUCGUUUUGCAGGCCACUGCACACGAAACAGAUCGUGUUGGUGUACUGGCUCAGCCCUGUUCCCUGUGCAGAAUAAUUGACGCAUUCAGAAAUUGGUAACGCAUGAAUCCCAUCGUAAUUAACAAGCUGCAGCGUAAGCUGGGCUACACUUUUACUC